GAGGGCAGCAUGUGGCCGGGGCGGGUGGGGGCCAGGCUCUGACUUCGCACCCUGCUUGACUUUCUAGAGCCCGUCAGCCAUGGCAAACUGGAGGCGUCGGGAGACAGUGAGCUCACCAGCCCCCCGGAGCAGCUCACGAGAGGGGUGACCCUGGUGAGCCUUGGGGUUGCCGAGCGGUUGCUCACCGACGACACGCACCCGGGCGGCCUGGAUGGAGACUCCGCCAGCCUCGACGCCCUCAACAGCGGCACCUUUAACCUGGACCCCCUGGCAGGGGAUGCCCAAAGCGGUCCUGCGGGGGACUUGCCUGCUCAGUCCAACGAGUCGCAAGAGAGUGUGGACCACGACACCGACUCGGAGGAGGCCCUGGCAUCUCAAGGGAUGUGAGGGGCAGGGUCCCACGCUGGAGCUGCCAUGGAGCCCCGAUGGACAGCAGCUUCCUGCCUUCUGCCAAGCUUUCUCGCUCCCUGCCCCUGGCACUGCCCGGGUACCACUCUGCACCCUCCCCACUGUCCUGGCUGCUGUUACAGCUCCAGCCGGGAGCCGUCGGGAGUCCUGCAGCUCACAAGGCUGCUUAGUCUCUGCCCCCAACUCCUCACUGUGCAGCCCCUCGGCUGGAGUAAACCAGCCCUGAUGCCCAUCAAGCCGCACAGAGCGACCCCACCCUAGUGAUCCAGCCCAGCCCCUCCAGCCGGG
rnacentral:lncRNA from 1 species